rnacentral:rRNA from 1 species
CCUACGGGAGGCAGCAGUGAGGAAUAUUGGUCAAUGGGCGCGAGCCUGAACCAGCCAAGUCGCGUGAGGGAAGACGGCCCUACGGGUUGUAAACCUCUUUUGCCGGGGAGCAACGGGCGCCACGUGUGGCGCCACUGAGAGUACCCGGAGAAAAAGCAUCGGCUAACUCCGUGCCAGCAGCCGCGGUAAUACGGGGGAUGCGAGCGUUAUCCGGAUUUAUUGGGUUUAAAGGGUGCGUAGGGGGAGCGUUAAGUCAGGGGUCAAAUUGAGGGGCUCAACCCCUUCCCGCCAUUGAAACUGGCGCUCUUGAGUGGAAGAGAAGUAUGCGGAAUGCGGGGUGUAGCGGUGAAAUGCAUAGAUACCACGCAGAACCCCGAUUGCGAAGGCAGCUUACUAAACUGCCACUGACAUUGAUGCUCGAAAGUGGGGGUAUCAAACAGGAUUAGAUACCCCAUAGUC